CAAGUGAUUCCCGUUAUCUUUUCUCCUAAAAAGUAUGUGACAUUUUAUGGCAGAAUAAGUCGACAAAACCUCCGCAAAAGAGUUGAGAUGGCUGCCUAUCCUCUUGAGUCUGUUGUUUGGCUGAGAUAGUAUAAUUUGGAUAAAUUACAGUCAAGCUUAGCAUCUCCAAAGACAUCUACCCUGUCAACAAAAGAUGUCCAAGACCAUGUACCAGCGGAUGAGAAAGCUGUACUCUCCAGUAUAAGGCUUAGCAUCUGCAAAGACAUGUACCCGUCAACAAGUAGAUGUCCAAGACAAACCUCUGAUAAAGGAGCUGCACCCUCAAUUAAAAGAAGUUCCUACAACCAAGUAUGGAGGGAAUCAACCCUACUGACAUCUUGAAAGGCUGCAUGGUACAAAGGAAGGCAACGCGUAU